CUUUAUCCUCCCACGCUCAAACUGAAACUCCAAAAAUCCAUUAUGGGGAAGACAAAAAAAUCAUAUUGACAUGUACAGUACUUGCAGACUGGGAAUGAUUGGGAAGCAAGAUACUGUUUCCAUCAGCUGAGCAAAGCUGCCGCCUGACUAAGGAAGGGUUAAAGAAACAACAAAUAUCCCCUCAAGAAAUUCCAUGAAAAACACUGAAGAUAAGCACAUGGAAAACUCAAACAGCAUGCCUUCUGUUAAGUAUGUGACAGAAAUUUCCCUGCUUGAGGGACGCAUAUGAAGGAUCUCUUUAUUAUGUACUGAAAAGAGAUCUCCUAGGUGGAUCUGCAACAUGAAUUUAAACUGGUUGGAACAAGAUGCUUUAUGGAAUA